AUUGAACGCUGGCGGCAGGCUUAACACAUGCAAGUCGAACGGUAACAGGAAUCAGCUUGCUGAUUCGCUGACGAGUGGCGGACGGGUGAGUAAUGUCUGGGAAACUGCCUGAUGGAGGGGGAUAACUACUGGAAACGGUAGCUAAUACCGCAUAACGUCGCAAGACCAAAGAGGGGGACCUUCGGGCCUCUUGCCAUCGGAUGUGCCCAGAUGGGAUUAGCUAGUAGGUGGGGUAACGGCUCACCUAGGCGACGAUCCCUAGCUGGUCUGAGAGGAUGACCAGCCACACUGGAACUGAGACACGGUCCAGACUCCUACGGGAGGCAGCAGGGGGGAAUAUUGCACAAUGGGCGCAAGCCUGAUGCAGCCAUGCCGCGUGUAUGAAGAAGGCCUUCGGGUUGUAAAGUACUUUCAGCGAGGAGGAAGGUGUUGUGGUUAAUAACCACAGCAAUUGACGUUACUCGCAGAAGAAGCACCGGCUAACUCCGUGCCAGCAGCCGCGGUAA
rnacentral:rRNA from 1 species